GCCCUGCUAGCUCAAUCGGUAGAGCGUGAGACUUUUAUCUUCAUAGCAGUAGCUUAAUCUCAAGGUUGCGGGUUCGACCCCCGCGUGGGGCU
rfam:Sphaerobolus stellatus SS14 unplaced genomic scaffold SPHSTscaffold_5, whole genome shotgun sequence.